rnacentral:lncRNA from 1 species
CAAUGAAAUUGGAUUCUCCUUUACAGAGAGCUCCUUUAUCUUGCUCUGCCUUCUUUUUCUUCUCUUUUAUUUUUUGGCGCUAAUUUGUGUUGUGAUGCUCUUGUCUUCCAAUGACAGUACCCUAUCGAAGCUCUUCCCCUAUCAUAGGAGAUUCCUCUGAAGUCGAUGAUCCAGGAUCUCAGAAGGAAAGUCUGUCACUUGAUGAAGAAAUCAAAGAAGCUAGAUGAUGAACUUCACCG